CACGUAGGGGGCAAGCGUUGUCCGGAAUUACUGGGCGUAAAGGGCGCGUAGGCGGUGUGUCAAGUCAGGCGUGAAAGCCCGGGGCUCAACCCCGGGAGGCGGGUGGAUACUGUCAAGCUCGAGUCCGGAAGAGGCGAGUGGAAUUCCUGGUGUAGCGGUGAAAUGCGCAGAUAUCAGGAGGAACACCAAUGGCGAAGGCAGCUCGCUGGGACGUGACUGACGCUGAGACGCGAAAGCGUGGGGAGCAAACAGG
rnacentral:rRNA from 1 species